rnacentral:rRNA from 1 species
ACGGAGGGUGCAAGCGUUGUCCGGAUUUAUUGGGCUUAAAGGGUGCGUAGGUGGUUUCUUAAGUCUGGUUUGAAAGUUGGUCGCUUAACGAUCAAGGGUGGCUGGAUACUGGGAGACUUGAAUAUUGUGGAGGUAGCCGGAAUGGGUUGUGUAGCGGUGAAAUGCAUAGAGAUGACCCGGAACACCAAUUGCGAAGGCAGGCUACUACGCAAUGAUUGACACUGAGGCACGAAAGCAUGGGGAGCAAACAGGAUUAGAUACCCUGGUAGUCCAUGCCGUAAACGAUGAUUACUGGCUGUUAUGCUUUCGGGUGUAGUGGCUAAGGGAAACCGCUAAGUAAUCCACCUGGGGAGUACGCUGGCAACAGUG